rnacentral:rRNA from 1 species
AACGUAGGAGACGAACGUUAUCCGGAGUUACUGGGCGUAAAGGGCGUGUAGGCGGUUUGUUAAGUCUGGCGUGAAAGCUCUCGGCUAAACCGGGAGAGGUCGUUGGAUACUGGCGAACUAGAGGAUGGUAGAGGCGUGUGGAAUUCCGGGUGUAGUGGUGAAAUGCGCAGAUAUCAGGAGGAACACCGGUGGCGAAGGCGGGUCUCUGGGCAGUAACUGACGCUGAGACGCGAAAGCGUGGGGAGCAAACAGG